UAGGGAAUCUUCCACAAUGGACGAAAGUCUGAUGGAGCAACGCCGCGUGAGUGAAGAAGGGUUUCGGCUCGUAAAACUCUGUUGUUAAUGAAGAACAUAUCUGAGAGUAACUGUUCAGGUAUUGACGGUAUUUAACCAGAAAGCCACGGCUAACUACGUGCCAG
rnacentral:rRNA from 1 species